rnacentral:lncRNA from 1 species
AGGCCCCAGACGCACAGGCUCUAUCAGCGCAGGCCUUCUUUGCAAACGACGCGCAUGCAGUGUGUGGUGCCUGUCCGCGCACAUAUGGCUCGCCAGCACGUGACAGGACAUGCGUGCUAUGCACACGUCCCUUGUGUGCGUGUGUGUGGUGGGGACAUGCGCGCUGUGGGCAUGUCUCGUGCGUGCGGAAGGGACAUGCGCGAUGUGCACACGUCCCGCGACUACUUUGCGUGCGAACUCGUGCUCACAAUGCCCACCACCUGAGUAAGCAACCUGACUCCCCUGGGAUUUUUUUCGCAGGAUUUUCUUCCCGAUUCGCCGUUUUCUAAUUUUAUC